CAUCUCAUCACAUAAGCAUUUACCAUCUCACAUCAUCACAUGAAAUUAAAAGAUCCAAGUUCCUAUACUGAAGAUCAAAACUCAAGCCUCAACAUCUGAAGAGCGCUGGGGGAAAAAUCACAAUAACAAGCACCUGGUUUGGGAAACCUCCUCAUCCUCACUAAAAUACAACAAGCUGCCUCAUCUGGUAAAACCUCUUUCUGCCUCUGUAGGGAGCCCCAGCAGGAAACAGUAAGAAAACAGCAGGACCAGUCUUACUGCUUGCAGGUUAUGAGGAAGAUGGAACCUCCCCAUUCAAUGUCAUGUUCUGUUACCCAGUCUUGUACAUCAGGACAUCAUGACCUUGGAAAUGUGACCCGUGAUUACUGACUAUUCAACAAAGUUAUCAGAACAUGGUUCACUACUCACCCUCUUCCUUGCAGAUAGAUGUUCCAGCAAAGUGUCCUGCAGACAAGGC